rnacentral:misc_RNA from 1 species
GAGAGAGAGAGAGAGAGAUUGAGAUUUUAUCAUUUUACAGAAUCAUUGCAAAAUUCAUACAUUUGAAUAAAAUUAAUUGAAUUAGAAGUCAAAUAUCAAGGAUUUAAAUCGCAAUCGCAGUAGGAAAUAAUGAAAACAGGCUUAUAAAUUGUAAUGGCUAUAAGAUAACAGUAAUGGCCAUAAUAUAACAGUAACGGCCUGUCACUAUGCAAAUUUUUUGAAAACAUCGCAAAAUUCAUGAAAUAAAUAGAU